CCUACGGGAGGCAGCAGUGAGGAAUAUUGGUCAAUGGGCGGGAGCCUGAACCAGCCAAGUAGCGUGAAGGAUGAAUGCCCUACGGGUUGUAAACUUCUUUUAUAAAGGAAUAAAGUGAGGCACGUGUGCCUUUUUGUAUGUACUGUAUGAAUAAGGAUCGGCUAACUCCGUGCCAGCAGCCGCGGUAAUACGGAGGAUCCGAGCGUUAUCCGGAUUGAUGGGGUUUAAAGGGCGCGUAGAUGGGUUGUUAAGUCAGUUGUGAAAGUUUGCGGCUCAACCGUAAAAUUGCAAUUGAGACCGGCAGCCUUGAGUACAGUUGAGGUAGGCGGAAUUCGUGGUGUAGCGGUGAAAUGCUUAGAUAUCACGAAGAACCCCGAUUGCGAAGGCAGCUUACUACACUGCCACUGACAUUGAUGCUCGAAAGUGUGGGUAUCAAACAGGAUUAGAUACCCUUGUAGUC
rnacentral:rRNA from 1 species